rnacentral:rRNA from 1 species
AUUGAACGCUGGCGGCAGGCCUAACACAUGCAAGUCGAGCGGAUGAAGGGAGCUUGCUCCUGGAUUCAGCGGCGGACGGGUGAGUAAUGCCUAGGAAUCUGCCUGGUAGUGGGGGAUAACGUCCGGAAACGGGCGCUAAUACCGCAUACGUCCUGAGGGAGAAAGUGGGGGAUCUUCGGACCUCACGCUAUCAGAUGAGCCUAGGUCGGAUUAGCUAGUUGGUCGGGUAAAGGCCUACGAAGGCGACGAUCCGUAACUGGUCUGAGAGGAUGAUCAGUCACACUGGAAAUGAGACAGGGUCCAGGCUCCUGCGGGAGGGAGCAGUGGGGAAUAUUGGACAACAGGCGAAAGCCUGGCACAGCGAGGGCAAGUGUGUUAAAAAAGCCUUCGGAUUGGAAAGCACUUUUAGUUGGGAUGAAGGGCAAUAAGUUAAAACCAUGCUGGUUUGACGGUACCAACAAAAUAAGCACCGGCUAACUUCGUG